UUUCCAACAUUAUAGAGAGAAUUCCAGUAGCACUUACUGAGAUGGGCAGGUCUGUUCUUGUGGGUAGUGGGUGCCCUGGCCAAUUGCUAGGGAUCACUUUGUUGGGAAUAGGGUGUAAUGGCAGGAAUAGUACUUACCUCCACACGUGCUUCACUAAGUCCUUACAGAACGUAUCAGUAGGCAAAGGAACUGGCACUCGGUGCUUUAAUAAAGGAGAAGCCAAUGAAUAAUGAAUGGCAGUCAGUGCCGCUGCCUGUAAAUGAUUCUGUUCAUUAUCUGUGCAAUCAUUUAUGUUCUCUCGCCUCCCAAAGAGACAUCAUUUUGCUCAGGCGAUCGCCAUCCUGAAUUCCCACGGCUGUAACAUCCUAGAACAGUUCUCCAGAAAGAUGGGUUUGAUCCCCACAAUAAACAUCACCAUUAUCUCCUGAUCUGCCUCCUAAUGACCUCCAGUGACCUCUCCGACCAAACCAAAGGCUGGAAGACCACCAGGAAGAUAGCGGAACUGAUCUACAAGGAAUUCUUCUCUCAGGGAGACCUGGAGAAAGCAAUGGGAAACAGACCGGUUGAGAUGAUGGACAGAGAGAAGGCUUACAUCCCUGAGCUCCAGAUCAGCUUCAUGGAGCACAUUGCCAUGCCCAU